UACAGAGGUCCCGAGCGUUGUUCGGAUUCACUGGGCGUAAAGGUGCGUAGGUGGUUAGGUAAGUCCGAUGUGAAAUCUCCAGGCUCAACCUGGAAUGCAUGGAUACUAUUAGCUGAGAGUGAGGGGACUGAUCUCGUGUAGCAGUGAAUGCGUAGAUAUCGAGAGACACAGUGCGAGCGAGUCCCUGGACACUCUGACACUGAGGCACGAAAGCUAGGGGGGGG
rnacentral:rRNA from 1 species